GACGAAAUGGUUGAAAUUCCUUCCACGUUCAACUGGGACCUUGUGGUGGGUGGACUCCCUCCAGGUCGAGAGAAAAAUGAGCGGAACCGGAGGAGGUGUGCCAAUGAGCAUCUUGAAGGCUUUGAUAAGGAUCAAAAAGGUUGCUUCUCAGCCAGGCAUGUUGGUGUAAUUCCGGUGGCUUCCUUCAAAUUGUAAGUUUAUGGAUGAUGCAAUCGCAUGUAUGGGGGACUCACACUUUCCGCUCACUCACACUUCUCGUUUUUUGAUGGGAAGAAUCAAUGUAAUGCCCUAUCCUAGCGAGAAGUGUGAGUGUUGGGCGAAAAGGGUGAGUCCCCCAUACUAUUAUGUUCAGAUCGGAGUGUUUGUUUAUUCAUAUGGGAUUGUUACUAAUUUGCGAUUCUUUCAGUGCAUUGCCUGAGCAUCAAGAAGGCUAUCUUGAGACUAACAGCCGCUGCCGAGAAAGGCAGUGGCAAUACCACAUUCUGGACCGGACUGAGAGAACAACACAUGAAGGGCGGCUCUUGUUCGUGAGUCGUCGAAGUGUGGCCUCGCAUGAUAUUCCGCCCAUCCCCGAUAGCUUCAUGCAAGCGGAAUCUGACAUCAGCGCAACUUACGACAUGGAACGCCACAUGACCCUGCUCGGCAUGGAAAACUGGCUGCUGGAUAUGGACCGUAAGAUGACAAUGCCAAGG